rnacentral:rRNA from 1 species
GGCCAGACUCCUACGGGAGGCAGCAGUGAGGAAUAUUGGUCAAUGGGCGAGAGCCUGAACCAGCCAAGUCGCGUGAAGGAUGACGGCCCUACGGGUUGUAAACUUCUUUUGUCAGGGAGCAAUUGGGUCCACGCGUGGGCUUAGCGAGAGUACCUGAAGAAAAAGCAUCGGCUAACUCCGUGCCAGCAGCCGCGGUAAUACGGAGGAUGCGAGCGUUAUCCGGAUUUAUUGGGUUUAAAGGGUGCGUAGGCGGAAUAUCAAGUCAGCGGUAAAAUUGAGAGGCUCAACCUCUUCGAGCCGUUGAAACUGGUUUUCUUGAGUGAGCGAGAAGUAUGCGGAAUGCGUGGUGUAGCGGUGAAAUGCAUAGAUAUCACGCAGAACUCCGAUUGCGAAGGCAGCAUACCGGCGCCCGACUGACGCUGAGGCACGAAAGCGUGGGUAUCGAACAGGAUUAGAUACCCGCGUAA